rnacentral:lncRNA from 1 species
AUGACUAAAUUUCUAUUCACAAACUCCACACCGUAAUCCUCGUAAGAUUUACCAAUGUGGUAGUAUAUGUAUUUAGCCUAAUCGGCCUAUGAGACCGCUUGUCAAUUUAUAGCUAUAUGAAGGAGAAGCAAUUCAUCUAACAGGAGAGAUCUGUAAGCAUACUAAGACCUUACCCAAGUUAAUUAGUCUAAUUUGUGCAUAAUCUAUUGAAAAAAGAGCAGUGCUUCGCAUCCUCCAGGGGCGAAGAAUGUGUGGGAAUAUUAUUAUGACACAAAGAUUAAGAAAAGAUUCCUCAAGAUAACACCUCCAGCAGAAUGACAGCUGUAUGCUACCACUGUAGAACUUCAUCAUAUUUGUUACUCCC